rnacentral:rRNA from 1 species
GACAGAGGUGCCGAGCGUUAGGCGGAAUCACUGGGCUUAAAGCGUGUGUAGGCGGAUGGGUAAGUACCUUGUGAAAUCCCACGGCUCAACCGUGGAACUGCUCGGUAUACUGCUCGUCUUGAGCCAACUAGGGGCGACCGGAACAAACGGUGGAGCGGUGAAAUGCGUAGAUAUCGUUUGGAACGCCGAUGGUGAAAACAGGUCGCUGGGGUUGUGCUGACACUGAGACACGAAAGCCAGGGGAGCAAACGGG